rnacentral:tRNA from 1 species
GAGGGGAUAGCUCAGUGGCAGAGCACAUGCUUAGCAUGCACGAGGUCCUGGGUUCAAUCCCCAGUACCUCCA